UCCUACGGGAGGCAGCAGUAGGGAAUCUUCCGCAAUGGGCGAAAGCCUGACGGAGCGAUGCCACGUGGAUGACGGAGGCCUUCGGGUCGUAAAAUCCUGUCAGGGGGGACGAUGGUCAAUUUUCGGAUUGAUUGACGGUACCUCCAGAGGAAGCUCCGGCCAACUACGUGCCAGCAGCCGCGGUAAUACGUAGGGAGCAAGCGUUGUUCGGAUUUACUGGGCGUAAAGCGGGCGUAGGCGGUCCUUCAAGUCGGAUGUAAAAUCUCCCGGCUCAACUGGGAGGGAUCAUUCGAAACUGCUGGACUUGAGGAUAGCAGAGGGAGGUGGAAUUCCCGGUGUAGUGGUGAUAUGCGUAGAUAUCGGGAGGAACACCAGUGGCGAAGGCGGCCUCCUGGGCUAUUGCUGACGCUGAGGCCCAAAAGCGUGGGGAGCGAACAGGAUUAGAUACCCCAGUAGUCCAAGCCGAAUUCCAGCA
rnacentral:rRNA from 1 species